CUACGGGAGGCAGCAGUCGAGGAACUUUUACAAUGCUCGCAAGAGUGAUAAAAUAAACCAGAGUGUUUCUCCUAGAGAAACUUUUGUCUGCUGUAAAAAUGCAGAUGAGUAAGGACUGGGCAAGACCGGUGCCAGCCGCCGCGGUAAUACCGGCGGUCCAAGUCGCAUCCACACUUAUUGGGUCUAAAACAUUCGUAGCUUGUUUUACAAGUCCCUUGUGAAAUCUGACAUCUCAAGUGUCAGGCGCGCAAGAGAUACUGUAUUACUAGAGACCGGAAGAUGCAAAGAGUAUGAUUGAGGUAGCGGUAAAAUGUGUUAAUCUCGAUUAGACUAACAAUGGCGAAGGCACUUUGCAAGUACGGAUCUGACAGUGAGGAAUGAAGGCUAGGGGCGCAAAAGGGAUUAGAUACCCCAGUAGUC
rnacentral:rRNA from 1 species